rnacentral:rRNA from 1 species
GACGAACGCUGGCGGCGUGCCUAAUACAUGCAAGUAGAACGCUGAAGAGAGGAGCUUGCUCUUCUUGGAUGAGUUGCGAACGGGUGAGUAACGCGUAGGUAACCUGCCUUGUAGCGGGGGAUAACUAUUGGAAACGAUAGCUAAUACCGCAUAACAAUGGAUGACACAUGUCAUUUAUUUGAAAGGGGCAAUUGCUCCACUACAAGAUGGACCUGCGUUGUAUUAGCUAGUAGGUGAGGUAAUGGCUCACCUAGGCGACGAUACAUAGCCGACCUGAGAGGGUGGUCGGCCACACUGGGACUGGGACACGGCCCAGACUCCUACGGGAGGCAGCAGGAGGGAAUCUUCGGCAAUGGGGGCAACCCUGACCGAGAAACGCCGCGUGAGUGAAGAAGGUUGUCGGAUCGUAAAGCUCUGUUGUAAGUCAAGAACGGGUGUGAGAGUGGAAAGUUCACACUGUGACGGUAGCUUACCAGAAAGGGACGGCUAACUACGUG